rnacentral:lncRNA from 1 species
CCUUAAACAGGUUGCUUAAUUUUCCUGAGGGUCAGUUCCUCAUUUGUGAAAUGAGAAUAAUAAAAGUACCCACCCAAGGCUAUUGCUGUGGGGAUUAAAGGAGUUAAUGUAUGAGGAGGGAAUAACGCAGUGCCUGACAUCUAACUUGUGCUUAUUAAACAGACCCUAAAAAACACAUCAAAGCCUGCAAGGUGGGAGAUGGUCCCAUUUUUAUUAUCAAGAAAAAGGAAGCUGGGCAUGGUGGCGCAUGCCUGUAACCCCAGCUGCUCAGGAGGCUGAGGCAGGAG